rnacentral:rRNA from 1 species
UACAGAGGUCUCGAGCGUUAGGCGGAAUCACUGGGCUUAAAGCGUGUGUAGGUGGAUCGUUAAGUACCUUGUGAAAUCCCACGGCUUAACCGUGGAACUGCUUGGUAUACUGGCGGUCUUGAGCCACUUAGGGGCUACCGGAACAAAUGGUGGAGCGGUGAAAUGCGUAGAUAUCGUCUGGAACGCCAAAGGUGAAAACAGCUCGCUGGGGUUGUGCUGACGCUGAGACACGAAAGCCAGGGGAGCGAACGGG